rnacentral:rRNA from 1 species
UCCAGACUCCUACGGGAGGCAGCAGUGGGGAAUAUUGCACAAUGGGGGAAACCCUGAUGCAGCGACGCCGCGUGAGUGAAGAAGUAUUUCGGUAUGUAAAGCUCUAUCAGCAGGGAAGAAAAUGACGGUACCUGAUUAAGAAGCCCCGGCUAACUACGUGCCAGCAGCCGCGGUAAUACGUAGGGGGCAAGCGUUAUCCGGAUUUACUGGGUGUAAAGGGAGCGUAGACGGUGAUGCAAGUCAGAAGUGAAAGCCCGGGGCUCAACUCCGGGACUGCUUUUGAAACUGUGUGACUGGAGUGCAGGAGAGGUAAGCGGAAUUCCUGGUGUAGCGGUGAAAUGCGUAGAUAUCAGGAGGAACACCGGUGGCGAAGGCGGCCUGCUGGACUGCAACUGACGUUGAGGCCCGAAAGCGUGGGGAGCAAACAGGAUUAGAUACCCGUGUAGC